rnacentral:tRNA from 1 species
GCGCCGAUGGUCUAAUGGUUAUGAUCCUGGCCUUCCAAGCCAGUUGUCCGGGUUCGAAUCCCGGUCGGCGCA